GACGAACGCUGGCGGCGUGCCUAAUACAUGCAAGUAGAACGCAGUUGCGAACGGGUGAGUAACGCGUAGGUAACUGCCUCAUAGUGGGGGAUAACCAUUGGAAACGAUAGCUAAUACCGCAUACUGUGAGAUGGACCUGCGUUGUGUUAGCUAGUUGGUGAGGUAAAGGUUCACCAAGGCGACGAUCCAUAGCCGACCUGAGAGGGUGAUCGGCCACACUGGGGCUGAGGAACGGCCCCGACUCCUUCGGGAGGGCGCAAUAGGGAAAUUUCGGCAAUGGACGGAAGUCUGGCCGAGCAACGCCGCGUGGGUGAGGAAGGUUUUCGGGUCGUAAAGCUCUAUUGUUGGAGAAAAGGUAACUAGCCGAAAAGGGACGGCUAACUACGUGCCGGCAGCCGCGGUAAUAC
rnacentral:rRNA from 1 species